AUUGCAUAUUUCUUUAAGAGUGCUCAAUGUUAUUGAGAUAAUAGGGAAACCGGUGAAAGUCCGGUGCAGCCCCCGUUACUGUAAGCACAGAUGAACCUAUCAUAGUCCACUAGCCACUGGCCGGGAAGGAGAUGGAGUUCAAGUGAAGUGCAAGCCAGGAGACCUGCUUUUAAAGUAGCUAUACA
rnacentral:ncRNA from 2 species